AUUCAUCUCUCACCCUCACCAUGGAACCGUACUCUGAUGAGCAUCUAAGAAACACAGAAACUCAGAAAUGAAACCAUGUGGCUCUGGCACUGCUGACAUAGAAUCACUGAUAUUUCAAAUAUCAGACUUCUCAAAAAGAAAAGUUUGCCUUUUGGAUAGAGCAUGGGAAAAUCUGAACUAAACAAACAGGGUACAAUGAGGAGUCAGGAGUCUGCAACAUGGAAGAGAGCUCUCACCAGAAUCCGAUCAUGCUGGCACCCUAAUUUCAAAUUUCCAGCCUCCAGAACUAGAAGGAACAAUGCCAAAAAUACAAGAUGCUGUAUGAAC
rnacentral:lncRNA from 10 species